GACGAACGCUGGCGGCGUGCCUAAUACAUGCAAGUAGAACGCAGUGGGGACGGGUGAGUAACGCGUGGGUAACCUCCCAUCAGAGGGGAUAACACUUGGAAACAGGUGCUAAACCGAUACUGAUGGAUGGACCCGCGGUUAAUUAGCGAGUGGGUGGGGUAACGGCUCACAAAGGCCACGAUGCAUAGCGGCCCUGAGAGGGGGAUCGGCAACACUGGGACGGAGCCACGGCCCAGACUCCUACGGGAGGAAGCAGUAGGGAAUCUUCGGCAAUGGACGAAAGUCUGACCGAGCAACGCCGCGGGAGGGAAGAAGGUUUCCGGAUCGUAAAAUUCUGUUGUUAGAGAAGCGGUAUCUAACCAGAAAGCCACGGCUAACUACGUGCCAGCAGCCGCGGUAAUAC
rnacentral:rRNA from 1 species